GAUGAAGAACGUAGCGAAAUGCGAUAAGUAAUGUGAAUUGCAGAAUUCAGUGAAUCAUCGAAUCUUUGAACGCACAUUGCGCCCGCCAGUAUUCUGGCGGGCAUGCCUGUUCGAGCGUCAUUUAAACCUUCAAGCUAAGCUUGGUGUUGGGUGACUGUCCGCUUCACGGCGGACUCGCCUCAAAAUUAUUGGCGGCCGGUACAUUGGCUUCGAGCGCAGCAGAAACGCGAACUCGGGCCCGUCGUAUUGGCUCCCAGAAGCUAUCUUCACAAUUUUGACCUCGGAUCAGGUAGGGAUACCCGCUGAACUUAAGCAUAUCAAUAAGCGGAGGA
rnacentral:misc_RNA from 1 species